rnacentral:rRNA from 1 species
UACAGAGGGUGCGAGCGUUAAUCGGAAUUACUGGGCGUAAAGCGCACGUAGUCGGCUUUGCAAGUCGGGUGUGAAAUCCCCGGGCUCAACCUGGGCACUGCAGUUGAAACUGGCAAGCUAGAGUAGGGUAGAGGGAUGCGGAAUUCCAGGUGUAGCGGUGAAAUGCGUAGAUAUCUGGAGGAACACCGGUGGCGAAGGCGGCAUCCUGGACCAAUACUGACGCUGAGGAGCGAAAGCCAGGGGAGCAAACGGG